rnacentral:rRNA from 1 species
GCAGUCGAACGAGAACGGGUUAAAGUUUACUUUAACUGUCAGCUAAGUGGCGCACGGGUGAGUAAUGUAUAGUUAACCUGCCCUCGAGAAAGGAAUAACAGUUGGAAACGACUGCUAAUGCCCUAUAUGCCUUUAAGACAUAAGUCUACAAGGGAAAUGCUUUUGUGCUCGAGGAUGGGACUGUAUGGUAUCAGAUAGUUGGUGAGGUAAUGGCUCACCAAGUCAAUGACGCCUAACUGGUUUGAGAGGAUGAUCAGUCACACUGGAACUGAGACACGGUCCAGACUCCUACGGGAGGCAGCAGUGGGGAAUAUUGCACAAUGGAGGAAACUCUGAUGCAGCAACGCCGCGUGGAGGAUGACACUUUUCGGAGCGUAAACUCCUUUUAUAUAGGAAGAUAAUGACGGUACUAUAUGAAUAAGCGCCGGCUAACUCCGUGCCAGCAGCCGCGGUAAUACGGAGGGCGCAAGCGUUACUCGGAAUCACUGGGCGUAAAGAGCGUGUAGGCGGAUAGAUAAGUCAGAAGUGAAAUCCUAUAGCUCAACUAUAGAACUGCUUUUGAAACUGUCUAUCUAGAAUAUGGGAGAGGUAGAUGGAAUUUCUGGUGUAGGGGUAAAAUCCGUAGAGAUCAGAAGGAAUACCGAUUGCGAAGGCGAUCUACUGGAACAUUAUUGACGCUGAGACGCGAAAGCGUGGGGAGCAAACAGGAUUAGAUACCCUGGUAGUCCACGCCCUAAACGAUGUACACUAGUUGUUGCUAUGCUAGACAUAGCAGUAAUGCAGUUAACACAUUAAGUGUACCGCCUGGGG